rnacentral:rRNA from 1 species
UGUCUUCCGAGAUUAAGCCAUGCAUGUUUAAGCACAAGCCGAUAAAUGGUGAAGCCGCGGACAGCUCAGUAUUACACUCCUAAUCCUAGCAAUGCUUACUUUUAUGGAUAUCUGUGCUAAUUGUAGAGCUAAUACAUGCAGAAAAGCCCAAGAUUCUUGGGUGCAUUUAUUAGAACAAAACCAAUCGGGCUUGCCCGUCCGUUGGUGAAUCUGAAUAACUGUGCAGAUCGCAUGGUCCAGUACCGGCGACACAUUGCAGGAGUGAGUGCCUUAUCAACUUUAGAUGGUAGUUUAUGUGCCUACCAUGGUUAUCACGGGUAACGGAGAAUUAGGGUUCGACUCCGGAGAGGGAGCCUUAAAAACGGCUACCACAUCCAAGGAAGGCAGCAGG